AGGUGAAAACCUCUUCCCUUGAAGGCUCAACAACUUCUACCCAGAAGAAGAAAAGAACAGCAUAUUCUUUCUCAUACACACACACAAACACACACACACACACACACGCACACAGUAUAUACCACCAGUCUGUGGUCUUGGAAGCAAAGUUUAAUAAUUGAAUAGCUCAAGCACUAAACUCUUACAUAUUAUUAAGAUACUAUCCUAAUAUGUCUCAUUUGUCAAAGAUGGAAAAGUUUUGAUAUGACAUAAGGGUUUCAAUCCCAAUAGGAAUAUUAAUGGUAACAAUAAAAAUAACAUAGCAACACGGUUUCUGUUGAAUGCCUGCCACAUGCCAGCAACUGCUUUGAUAAUUAAAGAAUUAUAUCUUAUGUUGAUUAUAAUCCUUAUAAUGGCUUCCUGGGUAAGAAAGGUUUAUUACUGUUUUACAUUUGAGGAGGAGACUAGGGUUCAGAGAGGGUGCAGAAGUGAGUUACACUUUUGCCAACCAGGCCAGAAGAUGAAAGCCGCUGGAUUGGGAAAUGCUUUUGUAUCAAAAGCACAAAAUGAAGUGGCUAGUGUUACUUGUUGGAAAAAAAUUAACUUUGGCAAGCAUAAAUAUAAUUCAGUAUUUGAGCAAUACUUUUAGGAGGGUAACAGAGUGGUUUAUGUGAAUUCUCCAAAAUGCCAUCAUGAAAAUUUUGAUGAUGAAAAUCACCUAAAAUUGCUAAUUACCUGUCUUAGCCUGUCUAGGGCUACAAAGUACCAUAUGCUGAGUGGCUCAUAAACAAUAGAAAUUUAUUUCUCACAGUGGAGGCUGGAAGUCAGAGUGCCAGAAUGGUCGAGUUCUGGUGAGGGCUCUUCCAGGUUGCUGUCAACUCUUUGCAUCCUUAGGUGGUGGCAAGAGGGCUAGAAAGUUCUUUGGAGUCUCUUUUAUUGUAUUUUAUUUUUUGGAGACAGUCUCACUCCGUCCCCCAGGCUGGAGUGCAGUGGCGCGAUCUCAGUUCACUGCAACCUCCACCUCCUGGGUUCAAGCAAUUCUCAGGCCUCAGCCUCCUAAGUAGCUGGGAUUACAGGUGCCCACCACAACACCUGGCUAAUUUUUGUAUUUUUAGUAGAGACAGGGUUUUGCCAUGUUGGCCAGGCUGGUCUCGAACUCCUGACCCCAGGCGAUCCACCUGCCUCGGCCUCCCAAAGUGCUGGGAUUACAGGCAUGAGACACUGCACCCAGCCUCUGGAGUCUCUUUUAUAAGGAUACUUACUAUUCUCAUCCAUGAAGUCUCCACUCUCAUGACCUAAUCACCUCACAAAGGCCCCGCCCCUUAAAACCAUCACAUUGGGCUUAGGAUUUCAACAUACAAAUUUUGGGGGGACAUAAACUUUCCAUCCCUAACAUUACCCAAAUAGUAUCUAUAUAGUCAUUUCUAAAUAUACACGUAUUUAGAAAUUUCUAAAUAGCCAGUAAACAUACAACUGACUUGGCCUUGAUAUAACUGUUUUCAUUUUCUUUUAUUUUCAUUCUACAUGACAUAUUUUGGGUAAUUAUAAAAUAAUUAAAAUUAGUUGAUAAAGUAUGGAAUUAGAAUAAAAUAAUUUUCUAUUACUAUCUAAGCCAUGAAAUGAAUUAGGAGAUGCUGUUUUCAGUGAAACGUCUUCUAGUUUUUAAAGUGCAUUGUCCAAUUCCUUUUUAUUUUGUGAAGAUUUUAAAAACUUAAAAAAAGUCUUCAAAUUGUUUGUGCCUUGCAUUUCUUUAAAUCUUAUGUUUAAACAUCAUGUGCUGCUAGUUGCUAGUCAUUUUCUCUAUCCCCUGCCCCAGACCCUCUCUUUCUCAGGAAAGGAUAUCCAGGGAUCCGGGUCCCAGUUAGUCAAGGAGAUAUAAGAGGAAGGCUAUGAGGCUUUCUGGGAAACAUUUUCUUUUUCCAAGAGAGAAGUGUUCAGAGGGAAAAGGUCCUUUCUCAGUUUGGCUCCCUCUUUGUGUUUUAGAUCUGGUCAUGUGAGGCUGCCUGGCUUGGAUUGUGAGGGCAUCUCUCGACAAUGAAGUGACAAGCCUGGGGAGGAAAAUCCACAGGCGAGAAGGUGGCAGAAUGGAGAGAUGGUCCUUCAUGACUUCUUUGAGUCACCAGGUCCAGAUUUCCCGCCAACCUCCAGUCUUCUUGUUAUGUGAUCUGAUAUCAUUAUUUACUGCAGAGGCCACUGAGUGGAUGCUCUUACUUGUGUCUGAAAAUCCAAUUCACUAAAUUAAUCAAAAUACGGCACUCUUCUUUUGAAACCUUGCUCCAGAACAAAGUGGAAGGUAAUGAUGGGGUGCUUUUCAAAGUUCCAGGGAGGUGUCCCUACACAGCAGACAGCUGUCCAAAGGAAUGUAGAUGUUGGCUGCGGGGAGAUCUGAGUUGCCAGACUCAGUCAGAACAGGUGUCCUCUCCCUUAUUUUAUCUUAAACAUGCAUGUCAUUUUUGCAUGCUACUCUAUGCGGUUCUUUCAGCCAGGGAACAUUGCUGAGCACCCGCUCACGUGCUGUAUGGAGCGCAGACUGCAGGGUGCGAGGGGCGGAGGUGAUGUGCUAGGCCUGAAUUCAAGAGGGGGCGCAGCCACAGGCCCCGCGAUGCCGGGGUGGCCUCUUGUAACGACGUUUUAACCGCUGACCUAAGUGGAUCCGCUCCUCUCCCGCCGCCCGCUCCCUGCCUGCAGCACAGGAUGGCGGCUGGCUUUCCCGAGUGGGCGCAGGAGAGCCACGCUUUGCUCUCCCAGGUGAGCCGCCGCUCGCUGUCCCGGUGAGGGGAAGUGAGCCACGCUCUAUGGGAAUCCUUCGAAUCUUCAUUCAAUUUCCAUCGCCUCCUUGUAUUUAUUUGGGAGUACUUUUAAAAAUGAAGCCUAUGCACAAUGAUGUAAU
rnacentral:lncRNA from 10 species